GACGAACCGAGGCGAACGUUAUUCGGAAUCGACUGGGCUUAAAGGGCGCGUAGGCGGGCCGUCAAGUCGAGGGUGAAAUCCCCAGCUACAACUGGGGAAGUGCCUCCGAUACUGGACGGCCUCGAGGGGGAUAGGGGCAUGCGGAACUUCCGGUGGAGCGGUGAAAGUGCGUAGAUAUCGGGAAGGAACACCGGUGGCGAAAGCGGCGUGCUGGAUCCUUCUG
rnacentral:rRNA from 1 species